rnacentral:snRNA from 1 species
AUAGUUAUAUAUCAGGGUAGAUUCAUGAAGGUUGUUAUUCAAGGAAAAGCUUAACCCUUGAACUCUGGCUGUGCUGACCCCUGCAGUUUUCUCCAAAUGUGGAGAACUUGACUGCAUACUUUGUGGUUGUUAGGGAAAGGCUUUGUACUCUAA